rnacentral:lncRNA from 8 species
GUGGCUGGCCCGGUUCUGGAACAUAGUGGUGGUCCUUCACGUGGAGUAGGCCAUCGUCUCCCGGGUGACACCGGGCAUCACCUAGCAAACGCCGCCUGAGCUCGGGCCAGCGGGCGGUGGUCAAGGCUGGUCUCAGUAUCCUGGUCAACAAAGUCAUCCUGCAGGGAUGCCCUCUGCCACGGCACAAGAUUAACAGGCACCUGUUGGAGUUCCGAGGUGGGACCUUCCCUCUCUCAACCAUUGGCUCCUGUAAAGGGAGAGGCGGCAGGAAGGGGUAGGAUAGUUGCAUGUAGAGAUGAGCCAAUACCAGCCCACGAAAGAAGGGGAAACCCCGCCUCCAACUGGAGCUGUGGAGAUUCUCUUAGAGAAGGGUCAUUGUUCAGCACUGAUGGAUGUCCUCUUCAUCACCAACGGCAAUACUCCGAGAUGGGGACCAUGUGAGUCUGUCUCUUACAACGAGACUGAUCUGAUCAGGGAGUUACAGACCAUGUGCUCCAGCAAGUCAGAGCCAAACAUCAGCAAGAUUGCUAGUCCAAGGAGGACUUCAUCGUCUUCUCUGGCUCUCCAAAUGGACAAUCGCCCCGCCGCAGGACCGACCAUGAAGCAACCGCUCAACCACAGAUGACUGGCAGCUGUCACUCCACCCCCAUCCCUGCCCUAGGCAGCCCCUUGCAACAAGAGGCGAUCGACGUCCUACCCAUAUCCCAGCUCCCUGUCUCCAGCAGCAGGUGACAGCAGCCGCGAGCCAGCAGCAGCAGUGCCUCCGCACCACGAACACCCACUACGACCACUAACCGCAACGCGAACAGAACUGAACCAAGCAGCAGCAGCAAAACAAGGCAGGCCCCAACCAGACACAACAACAACAACAACGAAAACAACCAACAACACAUCUGGAUCCUACACCGAGACCUGCAUGAAAACAACAACAAUACCAAGUACUAGAUGAACCUCCUUUCUCCUCUUUUCCUCUUCCUUCACCUUCCUUCUUUCCAUCCUUCCUUCCUUCCAUCCUUCCCACCACUCUGCUUUGAUCCCUCCAUGUUGUAAAGUUAGGGUUAAUGACCACCCUUUUAGUAUUUGUACUUGUUAUCCGUACUUGUUACACUGUAUAACAAUUGUGUACUUGGGGACCAUAGUUUUAUGAUAUUAUACAGUAUUUAAGUAUUGAAAGAAGUAAAAAAAAAAAA